UAGUUUAAAAAGGGAAUCAUUCUGAGGCUCUAUCACAUAAUACUAGUAGUUCUUCUGCUAUGCCCAAUACUUCAGGUAGUUAUAAUGUGUUUAAAUUAGUGAUUAUAUAUAAAUAAGGUAUGGGUGAUGGGGACGCAGAGCAGCCAUUUUGUGCAUAGAUAUAGGAUCGGCUAUUGGGAAACAUACAUUAGUGUGGUAUGAUUGACCGAAGGAUGAUCAGUUACAGACAGAUCGUCAUGUGAUUUCUGCUGAAUUUCGAUUCAAUGCCAGUUGUGAGUCCUGUAAUCGUAACUCAAGUUUAUUAGGCACUAGAUACAGAAGCUCGUACUAGCAUUUUUCUUGUGCUGGUAUAUUACCAUAACAGUACUGCCACAUUUUUGUCGGCAUCGCUGGGCACAGUUGGGAAGAGGUACACAGAUACAGGAGGCUCCUCACCAUCCCAAUAUCUAUUCAACCCUAUAAUGUUU